rnacentral:rRNA from 1 species
CUGGCGGCGAUAGCGCGGUGGUCCCACCUGACCCCAUGCCGAACUCAGAAGUGAAACGCCGUAGCGCCGAUGGUAGUGUGGGGUCUCCCCAUGCGAGAGUAGGGAACUGCCAGGC